UCAUACCCAAUACAUAAACGGAAAGAAAGGCUUCAAUCUCUGUCUUUCUUCACGAGACUUCAAUCUCUCUUCUUCUCUGGUCGAAGCACAGAAAUGUCAAUGAUUGGCCGGAGAGGAAUUCAUUACUUUCAGAAGCUCAACGCUGCAAGCGUUCCAGCUGCUUUGAUCGAGAAAGGCCAAAACCGUGUCAUUGAUGCUUCGUUGACUCUCAUUCGGGAAAGGGCAAAACUCAAAGGUGAGCUUGUGCGUCAACUAGGAGGAGCCAAAGCUUCAACAUCUCUCCUCGGAGUUCCACUUGGCCACAACUCUUCUUUCCUUCAAGGGCCGGCUUUUGCUCCUCCCCGUAUUAGGGAGGCGAUCUGGUGUGGUAGCACAAACUCGACAACUGAAGAAGGGAAGGAACUAAAUGACCCGCGAGUACUAACAGACGUAGGGGAUGUCCCUGUGCAAGAGAUUAGAGACUGUGGGGUUGAUGAUGACAGACUUAUGAAUGUCAUAAGCGAGUCUGUGAAGCUCGUGAUGGAAGAGGAUCCAUUGCGCCCAUUGGUAUUAGGAGGCGACCAUUCCAUAUCGUAUCCAGCUGUAAGAGCUGUUUCUGAGAAGCUCGGAGGGCAAGUGGAUAUCCUUCACUUAGAUGCCCAUCCUGAUAUCUAUGACUGUUUCGAAGGAAACAAAUAUUCUCAUGCCUCUUCCUUCGCUCGUAUCAUGGAAGGCGGAUAUGCUCGGCGUCUUUUGCAGGUGGGAAUUAGAUCCAUAACCAGCGAAGGACGGGAACAAGGCAAGAGGUUUGGAGUGGAACAAUACGAAAUGCGGACGUUUUCAAGGGAUCGCGAAUUCUUGGAAAAUCUGGUCAUCCCACUCUCUCUACAUCGAUACAUAGAUAGGGGUCGGCACGGGUUGGUUACCCGGUUUUUUUGCUAUCCAACCUUGACCUCGUUCCCCUCAGGUUUUCGGUUGGACUACCUGAUCUCGACCUCGUGUGGGUUGGGUACUCGAGCUUCAUGCAUCCGUGGGAUGCGCCGAGGGUUCGGAUUUCCACAGGGGUACUAAGGGGGUGAAACUAGGGGGCAGGGUACCGAGCCAAGGAAAGAGAUUCAAGGCGGGCGUCCAAGGAGGUUGAGGAGAGAGAUAGAUAUAUGGUUUGAGGGGCGAACGGCAAGAUGAGACGAGGGUAAGCGGUGAGGCAAAAUUCCUAGAUCGUCAUCUCCCUAACCGUGCCCUACAUUCUGAUUCUAAAAAACAAGCCUAAGUAGGACCUUCUGAUUUUAGAUUGCCUCGCCCCUCAGCUUUCUUGGUUCUCGCCUCAGCCACAACACAAGACUGUCGACACGGCUUAACCCUCGCCUCUCUUCGUCACACCAUUCCCCAUUGCCCUAUGUACCAGUACCACCCCAUCUUCCCCUCGGUUCGGGUUACUCAUAGUACUGAUGCCCACCAGUCGAAAUCCGAACCUGAAAUUCGGGUUCUUGCCAUUGAUGGACCACUGGAUGAGUAUCCAGACUUUCGGAUACCCGACUUGCGGGUCAAUGGAAACUCGGGGAAGGGGUUAAAGGAGUGUACAUCUCGAUCGACCUGGACAGUCUGGACCCGGCCUUUGCCCCCGGAGUGUCCCACAUCGAAC